AACCACCAAAGCGAAUUCAGGGUGCAUCAGGACUAACACCACAUGGGCACGUCCCCACAUAAGGGAAUUCGGAAGUAAUCUCCCAGCCAACUUUUCACCUAUUCUGUUGGGAGCUGGAGAAUCAUUUGAAAGUGUAUAAUUUCCACGGCAAGAUGACUGAAAGUUCACAUGGACCUGCUGCUGCUUACAACAAUCUGUGCAUUAGCAGACUAUAGGGACACAAUCCAUUUUGUAACAUCACCAUCAAUUGCUGUGCAAUUAGCAUAUAACGGCAACUUCAGUGAAGCAGCUCAGAGGAACUUAAAGGGGAAAAAAGAGCCUUUGUUUAUUUCUACAGGCAACUGUCUCAAAAUGUAAGAUAAAAAAAUAAUUUACAGAAGACAGACAACUUUUCAGGAAACUGGUACUCCAAAAUACUAAUAGUCAGCAGUCACUCCAGCCCUGCUAGGUGUCUGAAAUUGUGCCUGCAGACAUGUACAACAGACUAAUGGUUUUGGGAUUCCUUUGAAAAAGAGAGGUUAUACUAUAUUGUUAUGAAACUCAAGAUUUGAGGAGCUGAUGAUAGUUUGUAACACCAGUAUUCGCCAGCACAGCUACAAAGAAAAGCCAAGACCCCUGUCACCCUAGUAUAUUGUCAAUGCCCAACAGAACAUGAACAGCUGGACAAGACUCCUACCAUAUUUUCACAGUCGGUUUCCCCAUCUGGGCUGCGUAAGGGGAAGGCAGGAGAGCAGUUCCUGGUGCCUCACAGCAGAGUUCCAGCUUGGGGCCUUUUCAAUUUUACUAGCCUAUAAAAUAAGAGUCUUGAACCAGAAACACAGGCAUCUAGACAUCGGGGCCACGUUCUAAUCAGCACGGGUAAUGUCGUAGCAAGUGAACACAAGAUCUGAGCUGCUUCCAAGGGUCUGGGCAGUUACUGCAUUGACUGUGUCAAGCCCAGAAAACAAUAACGGACACUAAUGAAGAGAUACCUACAGAGAAAAGGAAGCCAUUACAAAAACAAGACUUGGGAACAACCUUCCUCAGAGGAGUAGAGAAGCCAGAAGCACAGGUCUAGAGAGUCCAGAAGCUAAGAAUUGUCUGCAACAUAUCAGACACAUCCCCUUCAUGGUACUCACGCGGUUUUCUUGCAGGAUGCUAAAGCGCAGAA